rnacentral:lncRNA from 10 species
AGGACACCUCUUCUGCACCACCUAAUUAAUAUCCUGUUAGCUUCUCCAUCUUAGAGGGCUUGGAAUGCACGUUCCUGUCCUACUCAUUGUAACAACCCUCUACUCAACUGACCAACUUCAAGCAGGCACAGUAUGACAGUGCCUCCCUCGUACCUGAGUUGGCAUCUAUUGCCCAGGAGAUCGUUUGCUGACUCUGAGGUUCAAAUGAUUCUCGUGACUGAGCUUCCUGA